ACUCAAAUGAAUAGACGGGGACCCGCACAAGCGGUGGAGGAUGUGGUUUAAUUCGACGCAACGCGAAGAACCUUACCAAGGCUUGACAUCUACAGAAUCCCUUAGAAAUUUGGGAGUGCUCGAAAGAGAACUGUAAGACAGGUGGUGCAUGGCUGUCGUCAGCUCGUGUCGUGAGAUGUUGGGUUAAGUCCCGCAACGAGCGCAACCCUCGAUGCUAGUUACCAUCAUUAAGUUGGGGACUCUAGCGUGACUGCCGGUGAUAAGCCGGAGGAAGGUGAGGACGACGUCAAGUCAUCAUGCCCCUUACGUCUUGGGCUACACACGUCCUACAAUGGCAUAGACAAAGGGCUGCAAGCUAGCGAUAGUGAGCGAAUCCCAUAAACUAUGUCUCAGUUCGGAUUGCAGGCUGCAACUCGCCUGCAUGAAGUUGGAAUCGCUAGUAACCGUAGAUCAGCAUGCUACGGUGAAUACGUUCCCGGGUCUUGCACACACCGCCCGU
rnacentral:rRNA from 1 species